GGCGGUGCUUUAGAUCCACCUAGAGGAGCCUGUUCUAGAACCGAUAACCCCCGUUCAACCUCACCUUCCCUUGCCCUCCCCGUCUAUAUACCGCCGUCGUCAGCAUACCCUGUGAAGGAGAAAUAGUAAGCAAAAUUGGUAUAGCCCAAAACGCCAGGUCGAGGUGUAGCUUAUGAGAAGGGAAGAAAUGGGCUACAUUUCCUUUUUAAGGAAACACGAAUUGUGCUAUGAAACUAGUGCAUGAAGGAGGAUUUAGCAGUAAGUAAGAAAAAGAGCGUCUUACUGAACCUGGCCCUGAAGCGCGCACACACCGCCCGUCACCCU
rnacentral:rRNA from 1 species